GGGCCCAUAGCUCAGUGGUUAGAGCAGACGACUCAUAAUCGUUUGGUCGGGGGUUCAAAUCCCUCUGGGCCCACCA
rnacentral:tRNA from 6 species